UUUAUAUUGUCUCACUGUGUCUCUGUUUUACUUUGGCAGCUUUCUAUUUGGGAAUUUUCCCCUGACAUUUCUUGGUCCUUCGAAACCGGAUGAGACAGCCUAUUUAAAGCAGCUCUCACAGAAAGCACCUCACCAGGUCCCGUUGGUACGAGAAGCCCACGUUGCAACGUUUUACAAGCGGUCCGCACCGUCGGGGGCUGAUCAGGUGCAUCUGAAGAAACCAGCGCCAAGUCUCUUCCAGGUCCUGCUCACAACACCCACAGCAUGCAGGAUUGCUGAACGACCCUCGUGGAUUCAUCAAAGCCACACAAAGAAGGUUGAACCAAUCCAAGACCCACCAACAUCUCCUUAAAGUGAGUGAUAAGUUUAGACUCUGGUCCUCCCCAACCUCUAGUGUUCGCUCGGUGGGGGGUAGGGUGAUCAGUGGCAACACUCGUGAUCCCACUCCUCUGGCUGAGGUCUACUCAUUAGAGGCUACGGGUGUGUCUGGUGGUCGAGAAGAGGAGAACACUCACAGGAAUGGAGAUGCUAGACAAA